UAUCUGGAAAUCUUAUUUGAGACCUUUGGAAAUGAGCGUGACUUCACCCAAACCAUCAAAUAAGAAAUAUCACUUAGUAGAAAUCUAAUAUUAUCUUUUCUUCAUGGACACAUGCUUCACAAAAUCUGAGAGAGCAUUACCACACAACUAAGCCUAUCAGAGACUCAAGGAAACUUGAGAUGAUGGAAUAAAUAAAUGGCUCUUCUUCUUCCCCUCCCCCUUUGAAGGGAGAACCUGUCUGUUUCUCUGAAUACAGCUGAAGUCAGUGUGCAGCUCCUCUCCCAGACCAAGUCUCCUCGGGAUCAGGAAACUUGCUUUCACAGACAGACUUUGUUUUUAUCCACAUCUGGAAUGACUCAUGGUGCAUGUGAGUUUGCUGGCAGCUGUGUGAAUAAAUAUCAUUACAUUUUUGUAGCUGAGUUUCAUUUGCAAAGUGGGCCAGUCAAAAUUUAUUUUUGUCCAAUAAAGACACAUGAGUAACUUCAUUAAAGGACACUCUUGAAUACUA